UCGCGUCGCCAGAAGCUAAGAUCGGUUCGGGGCUGUUGUUGGCAUCGCCGUUUUUCUGUCCGAGCUCUCUUUGUCGCUGCUUCUUUGCUCUUCACCGUUGGUCGUUGCCGCUUCUCCACUCCUCGCCGUGGGUCGUCACUGCUUCUCCCCUCCUUGCCGUGUCGUUUCUUCUUCUCUCCUCCUCGUCGUUUUUGGCUGUGGCCCCUUCUCGUCUCCCCGCCAGUCUUGUCGUCGCUGCCUCUCUGCUCCGCACCGUGUCUC
rnacentral:lncRNA from 1 species